rnacentral:tmRNA from 1 species
CUGGAUUCGAUUGCAGGCAGAGGCUGAUGUAAGCAUACCGAAGGAUCCGGCUUCGUAAAAACGGUAAAUUAAAAUUAAACGCUAACAAUAGCAAUUACAGCGCUCCCGUAGCGCUCGCAGCUUAACGCUGCAACGUCCUGUCCCGUUUCCCACGGGCGGGAACAGGGCGUCAAUUCAGUGGGGUACUUCUCUCUGCGUUAAAUCCCCGGCGCACUGAGAGGUUUUCAGGGGAUAUGCCGUGCGGUGAGGCUGUCUUUGGUCGCCCGUACGGCGAGAUCAAGCAAAGACUAAGUAUGUAGAAAGCUCAGGCAAAACCUGUAAGACCGCGGUUCAACUCCGCGCUAGUCCACC